rnacentral:rRNA from 1 species
UACGGAGGGUGCAAGCGUCAAUCGGAAUUACUGGGCGUAAAGUGUGCGCAGGCGGCGUCGCAAGUCGAGUGUGAAAGCCCCGGGCUUAACUUGGGAAUUGCGCUCGAAACUACGGCGCUGGAGUGUGGCAGAGGAAGGUGGAAUUCCACGUGUAGCGGUGAAAUGCGUAGAGAUGUGGAGGAACACCGAUGGCGAAGGCAGCCUUCUGGGCCUGCACUGACGCUCAUGCACGAAAGCGUGGGGAGCAAACAGG